AUUGGAGGAAAGUAGGGGAUCGCAAGACCUCACGUUUUCGGAGCGGCCGAUAUCAGAUUAGCUAGUUGGUGGGGUAAAGGCCUACCAAGGCGGCGAUCCGUAGCUGGUUUGAGAGAACGACCAGCCACACUGGGACUGAGACACGGCCCAGACUCCUACGGGAGGCAGCGGUGGGGAAUUUUGGACAAUGGGCGCAAGCCUGAUCCAGCCAUGCCGCGUGAGUGAAGAAGGCCUUCGGGUUGUAAAGCUCUUUCGGCCGGAACGAAAUCGGGCGCGUGAAUAACGCGCCUGGAUGACGGUACUGGAAGAAGAAGCACCGGCUAACUACGUGCCAGCAGCCGCGGUAAUACGUAGGGUGCGAGCGUUAAUCGGAAUUACUGGGCGUAAAGCGUGCGUAGGCGGUUUCGCAAGUCAGAUGUGAAAUCCCCGGGCUUAACCUGGGAACU
rnacentral:rRNA from 1 species